UAAGGAAUAUUGGUCAAUGGAGGCAACUCUGAACCAGCCAUGCCGCGUGCAGGAAGAAGGCCCUAUGGGUCGUAAACUGCUUUUGAACAAGAGAAAACCCCGGUACGUGUACUGGGUUGAUAGUAUUGUUAGAAUAAGCAUCGGCUAACUUCGUGCCAGCAGCCGCGGUAAGACGAAGGAUGCAAGCGUUAUCCGGAUUCAUUGGGUUUAAAGGGUGCGUAGGCGGACUGAUAAGUCAGUGGUGAAAUCCCUCGGCUUAACCGAGAAACUGCCAUUGAUACUGUUAGUCUAGAGUACAGAUGAUGUGGGCGGAAUAUGACAUGUAGUGGUGAAAUACUUAGAUAUGUCAUAGAACACCGAUUGCGAAGGCAGCUCACAAAACUGUAACUGACGCUGAGGCACGAAAGUGCGGGGAUCAAACAGGAUUAGAUACCCCCGUAGUCCCUGAGCGGGCUGGCAAGGCGCAU
rnacentral:rRNA from 1 species